rnacentral:rRNA from 1 species
UACAAAGGGUGCGAGCGUUGUUCGGAAUCACUGGGUGUAAAGGGUGUGUAGGCGGCUUGGUAAGUUAAAUGUGAAAUCCCUGGGCUUAACCGAGGAAUUGCAUUUAAUACUGCCUAGCUUGAGUGUGGAAGAGGAAAGCGGAAUUCCUAGUGUAGCGGUGAAAUGCGUAGAUAUUAGGAGGAACACCAGUAGCGAAAGCGGCUUUCUGGUCCAACACUGACGCUGAGACACGAAAGCAUGGGUAGCAAACAGG